GAGAGUUUGAUCAUGGCUCAGGACGAACGCUGGCGGCGUGCCUAAUACAUGCAAGUAGAACGCUGAAGGGAGAGCUUGCUCUUCUGGAUGAGUUGCGAACGGGUGAGUAACGCGUAGGUAACCUGCCUGGUAGCGGAGGAUAACUAUUGGAAACGAUAGCUAAUACCGCAUAACAGCAAAUGUUGCAUGACAUUUGCUUAAAAGGUGCAAUUGCAUCACUACCAGAUGGACCUGCGUUGUAUUAGCUAGUUGGUGGGGUAACGGCUCACCAAGGCGACGAUACAUAGCCGACCUGAGAGGGUGAUCGGCCACACUGGGACUGAGACACGGCCCAGACUCCUACGGGAGGCAGCAGUGAGGAAUAUUGGUCAAUGGGCGAGAGCCUGAACCAGCCAAGUCGCGUGAAGGAUGACUGUCUUAUGGAUUGUAAACUUCUUUUAUACGGGAAUAACAAGGGUCACGUGUGACCCCCUGGCAUGUACCGUAUGAAUAAGCAUCGGCUAACUCCGGUGCCAGCAGCCGCGGUAAUACGGAGGAUGCGAGCGUCAUCCGGAUUUAUUGGGUUUAAAGGGUGCGUAGGCGGUUUGUUAAGUCAGCGGUGAAAUCUAGAGGCUCAACCUCAAAACUGCCGUUGAAACUGGCGAACUUGAGUGUAGAUGAGGUAGGCGGAAUUCGUGGUGUAGCGGUGAAAUGCAUAGAUAUCACGAGGAACUCCGAUUGCGAAGGCAGCUUACUAAGGUACAACUGACGCUGAAGCACGAAAGCGUGGGUAUCAAACAGGAUUAGAUACCCUUCCUANUCCACGCAGUCAAACGAUGAUAACUGGGCGUAUGCGAUAUACAGUAUGCUCCUAAGCGAAAGCGUUAAGUUAUCCACCUGGGGAGUACGCCGGCAACGGUGAAACUCAAAGGAAUUGANCGGGGGCCCGCACAAGCGGAGGAACAUGUGGUUUAAUUCGAUGAUACGCGAGGAACCUUANCCCGGGAUUGAAAUGUAGAUGACAGGCGGUGAAAGCUGCUCUCCCUUCGGGGCAUCUAUGUAGGUGCUGCAUGGUUGUCGUCAGCUCGUGCCGUGAGGUGUCGGCUUAAGUGCCAUAACGAGCGCAACACCCUGUCUACGGUUGCCAUCAGGUGAUGCUGGGAACUCCGUAGAGACUGCCGUCGUAAGGCGUGAGGAAGGNGGGGAUGGCGUCAAAAUCAGCACGGCCAAAUACAUGCCCNGGGC
rnacentral:rRNA from 1 species